AGUCUGGUGCCAGCAGCCGCGGUAAUUCCAGCUCCAAUAGCGUAUAUUAAACUUGUUGCAGUUAAAAAGCUCGUAGUUGAAUUUCUGCUGCAUCGUGGUUCUUCGCUAUGUCGAGUGGGCCUCGUUGUGGCUUAGUUGGGGCAUGUUUUUCAUGACUCGACGUUUACUUUGAGAAAAUUAGAGUGCUUCAAGCAGGCUUUUGCCUUGAAUACUUUAGCAUGGAAUAAUGGAGUAGGACUUUGGUUCUAUUUUGUUGGUUUUAGGAGCCGGAGUAAUGGUUAAUAGGAACAGUUGGGGGCAUUCGUAUUUGACUGUCAGAGGUGAAAUUCUUAGAUUUGUCAAAGACGAACUACUGCGAAAGCAUUUGCCAAGGAUGUUUUCAUUAAUCAAGAACGAAAGUUAGGGGAUCGAAGACGAUCAGAUACCGUCGU
rnacentral:rRNA from 1 species